ACAUUUAACACACUAAGUGCCUCCGGAGACACAGCACGGUCCUGCUCUUGGAAUGGAAUUUUCCACCUUUCCAGUGAGGGAAGCAUAAAACUGCCCUGGGUUUCCUCUGGCAAACCUGCAGCCCUAUUCCUUUACCAUUUUCAUGGUAAAUUGGAGACCGGGUCCUGGAGUAAGACUGAUGUCACAGCAGAGCCAAGAUGACAAUGUUGGCUCUGACAAUGAAUGUUCUCUGAUCCACUACUCAGAAACGACAUCCCUUCUGACAAAAGAACUCCAAAAAACUGGUGAUCUGAAGGUUGCUUUAGGUUCUGAGGACAUUGCUGUUGGUGUAACUCAGCCUGAUGGAUGCUCUCCCACACUGAUACGGGCUCACCAAGAGGAGACUCGAAGUGUUCUGUCUACAGUCUACAACAGGCGAGGAUCAUACAUUUUAGGACCAGUGGCCCCCCUAGUGAAGGUUUCUGUGCCCUCAGCAUCUCGAGAGCUGGAUGCAACAAGGAAGAGCUGAGGAGAACUGAGAGCCGCCCCUGUCGUGUCUGAAGGUGCUUUCUGGAAUGUAGCAGAGAACGGGAAAUGAGAUCCAAUUGCAAUGAGGAGGAAGGAUGAAGAUGCAACUCCUCACUGUCUCCUAACCCAUUCUUGAAAGACAGCCUGGAGGAGCAGAUUCCAACCAGAGGAACCCAGCUGGAACACCUAGGCAGCAGCCAGGAGAUGGCAGGGCCGUUUUGUGUAUGUUUUCUGUUUACUUGCUCAGUUUUUAAUGAAAGAAAUGUAUUUUUGUUCUUUAUGUGUUUUUGAAGUGUCUUAGCAUUAAAAACAUAUGUUUCUAUUUUUAGAAAAAUAAACUAUGAGUAUUUUAAU
ensembl:lncRNA